GAGCCAGUAGCCUAAUGGAUAUGGCGGCAACCUCCUAAGUUGCAGAUUGUGGGUUCGAGCCCCACCUGGCUCG
rfam:Archaeon CG2_30_31_98 isolate CG2_30_31_98 cg2_3.0_scaffold_14362_c, whole genome shotgun sequence.